rnacentral:tRNA from 1 species
AGACAACAAAAUGUUAAAUAUUAAUUUUGUCACCUUAGGUCGAUCGGUAUCUCACAUUCUUAAUUUAUUUAAGGAUUUUAUUUCCUAAGUUUUUUCUAGGUCACACCCAUUUUUUUCCCUGGGCCAUUAGCUCAGGUGGUUAGAGCGCACCCCUGAUAAGGGUGAGGUCCCUGGUUCAAGUCCAGGAUGGCCCAUAUCUCUAUGUUGGGGGUAUAGCUCAGUUGGUAGAGCGCCUGCUUUGCAAGCAGGAUGUCAGCGGUUCGAGUCCGCUUACCUCCACUGAUUACCACCUCUUCCAUAAAUUUAUAGAAGGGAAAUUUUUUGAGUUGUGAUCAAAUUCCGAACGAAUCUAGCUUCCUGAUAAUUUUAUUAAGAUGCUGGACUCAUUGAAUUAUUUUCAUUGUUUUCAGAGAACCUUGACAACUGCAUAGAUUAUUUUUAAAGACAAUAAGCAUCUUUAAUGAUGCAGAUUUAUUAUUUGUGCGAAUGCAUUAAUAACAAUUCUAUUAAGCUGAUGCUUCAAUUUUUGAAGUUAUU